GGGCAUUCAAGAUACUGCAGAGGAGGCAAUCCCAGUCAUGUGUCCCAUUCACUUUGUCAAGCCAUGAUUAUUCUGGGUCUCAGAAAUCAAAAUUCUCUUGGGGAAUGAGGACAGCCCAGCCAUCAUGACCAUAAACUCCAGGUGGCUUCCCUUGUGGAGUGAAGGUGGAUCUUGGCUGCUUGUUUGACUGAGCCACCAGAAUGUAACCAGGGUUUUCCUAAGGCAGUACCACACAUGGACAUGCAUCUUUUAGGGGUCUAAUUGGGCAAAGAUAUGCAUAUGUAUAGGCCCACAGGAAAGAACAUACAGAAUGAAGCCACUCUCUAAUGGUAGCUUUGAGGUGCAAACUCUACAAAAAAGAAAAAACAAACACAGUCGAAACCAAGCGUUUUCCUCCUUUGUCAUUUUUUCGGCUGCUGCGGAGACCCGGGCUUGUACCUGGGGAGAGCUGCCUGGCCAUGAGGCUUCCCAGAGACAGACUGACAGCGGUCACGUUGUGUGACAAAAUGUACAGUUCUGCCAAGCAGAUAUAAAAGGCAUCUUGGUGGCAAAGCCCAUGGUGUUCUCUCUGAGCAGUCACUGGAUGCUGGAACAGCCCUCACUGCACUUCUGUUUCCUCUCUGUCCAAGCACAGCAAGUCACACACCGCCAACAAAAGUGAUCUUUGCAAGGCUGGGAGUUCCAAUGCAGGACUCCAAAGCAGUUGAGGAAAGUCACCCUCCAAAUGUCUGAGUCACCCCCUGCUCACCAGCUACCAGCGGGUGCUGCCGCGUGCUCUGCCCCUCAGAGAACCAAAUCCCUUCCUGGGCUGUUGCAAGCAUGAGAGUAGCUGGAAUUCUUAGUCACCUCUCCCUUAAAGUCCUGCCCUGGCGUCAUCGAUGAAAGACUUGAUCUUUUGCCGUUUUUACAACAGGAACCCUUCUCUCAUCACUUCCCAACGUGCCACAGCAGGACAGAGCUCUGACCCAUCCUCUCGUAUUUGCUGUUCUGAGGCACAGAGGGCUCUUUCAGAGGCACGGUCCCAUUUGGGAUUUCUUUCCUAAGACUCGGUCCAACAGCCAUCUGUUGUGCUCUCUCUGUUGACCCAUAGCAGGGCACAGGAAAUCUCACUUCUCCCAGCCACGGGUACACAGUGACCAGUAGCUACCUCUUCCCCAAUUUUUUUUUGUUUCUUGUCUCUGUGGUUACAGUAGCUAAGCCCCACUUGGGCCCCUGGCAAGUCCCGUGGCCUCCUUGACAGAGAAUUGCCUCAUGGAUUGUCCGUAAGAGCACGGGCCGGCAGCCUCCAGCACAGCACCUACCUCUGAGUUGGCUUCUCCCCUUUCAGAGGAGUUUCUGAAAUCUCAAACAAAUACCCUAGCUGUUCCUUGUGCCUUUAAGAGGAACUGGUGUGUUUACAUGCCCAGAGAUGUUGACAGGCAUCGAUUCAUCUCCAGAGUCAAUCUGCCUUCCAAGGAUGGUUGGUAGAAGUUAUUAAGGCACAAACCAUCAAAAGGUUGGUGUCUGUAUCUGAGGUGAAAGCAGUGGGGAUUUGACUGAAAAGAUUCAAUGUACUGGUGAACUGUGACAUUCCUGGGGGGCAGGGGACUGCUGGUAUCUUGCUGAAGAUUUUCCUCUGGAGCAUGGGAUUUCUGCUAUUUUCUCCUCUCAGACUAUAGCCCCUAGAACUCCUCUAUUCUCACAACAGAAGAGUUAAAGCAAUGGGGGUACCAAGACUGGUCCUGCACGCUACAGGAAUGAGGAUCCAGAUCUUGCAGAGGCUGAGAGACAGGACAAUAUUGCUUGUAAUGAUUAUGGUAUUGCUUGUCCUCAGCACACCCACACUGUUGUCAGUAAGCCAACAGGAAGAAAAAUGCCCCCAGGUUGCCUCAGUCCCUUCCUCCCAACCACUUUUAGUUUAUAAGCAUGUAACUAAAUUAAAUCCUUAAAGAUGUGUAAUUUCUACAUAUUCACCCUAAACAUGCACAAGAAACAGCAUCCACAAGAAGAGCUGAAACUCAGUUUAUUUAAGCAUGUCUCACAACAACCAAACUCAAGAGAACAGCCCAGGAGACUGAUCUCCAUCUCUGCGGUGAGGCUGUGGGUGGAUGUGUUUUCAUUAGGCAAUCCAAGCCUUCACAGAUCUACAGACCCCUUUACACUUCCCCUUGAUUUUGAUAUUUUUUGUCCAACUCAUCAAAGCUUUUCCCUCAGUUCAGAGAUAAGGGAGCAGAGCAGGAAAACCCAGCCCCUCUGUGAUUCUUCAGGACAUGAUGGGUUCCCCCAGGGUCCAGUUUGUAGAUUCUUCUCAUUAUCAAGAGGUUUUGCCCACCCCUGCAGCUGAUUAAGGCUUGGCUUGUCCAGGGAGGCAGCAGCCAUGGUUAGCUGGAAAUAAGAAAAGGAAUAAUUCCUCCCACACACUCAGAGACCACACUCUGACCUGUGAGUAAAAGCCAAUUUAUGGGCGCUUGGGAGAACUGCAUGGAGACCACCUUAUCCUGAGGCAGAAUCAGAGCCACACUGUGGGUGGGAGCUGGAAGAAAAGUCAGAGGGGAGUGGGAGAAGAGCACAGCAGGAAGAAAAAGGGAAGGUGAAAGGUUCAUAAAAUCAUUUUAAAAGAGCCUCCUUACUCCCUCCUUGCUGACUGCUGGCACUGCAGACUGGACACCGGCGCUUGGCAAGGCUCAGUCUCUGGGGCACACACAACAGGGACCUACCCCAUGCUCUGCACACACUGCAGUCCUCCCACUCACCAAACCUCUCCAGGGCCCUCUCUGGGUUUAUUUCAGCUUGGAAACCCCCCACCCCUCUGAUGUCAUCCCGUACUGGGGCUUGAAUUCAUUUCAAGUUGACUGGUCCAGCACAAGAAACAUUAUUUUUAUAUGUAGGAGGUAUAUCUAUGGUUCAUAAAACACCACACAGGACUGAAGUGGCUGGAGACUGAGUGAUAAACUGAGGCCAAGCAUUUCUACAGUUGGUUCUGAA